GGAGAUGCCCCAGACCCAUUGGGGACAUCAAAAAGUCUUUACAGGCGACCAGCAGUAGUAGAUUCGUCGGUAAAUGAUUAAUGAAAGUGUGAACAAUUAAAAGCUAAGGGUGGUUGAGCCCAUAUUGUUACAAAUAGCAGGAAUUAAUCCUUUUUCUAUUUCAAGUUCACUUGUAAACAGAACCUCCCCGGGGGAGGGUUGAGGGGUGAGUUUCAUGGUGAAACACGCAAUAAGUAAAACCAUAAGCUCUGCAGCAAUUUGUGGUUGAGACUGGCACGGUGAAAGUACGCCACCGUCCUCCUCCCAUCCGUUCGGCCGUUCGGAUCGAUGUAUAAAUCAUUUUUGUAUUUGCAACCAUAAAACACUUCAUACACUCGGAGAUCGGACGAUUGGAUCGCCUUUUUAUGUGUGCGGGUGCGAGUGUGUGUGUUGUUGUUAUAUCCCCAACACCAAAGCUAGAAGUACGCGAAACAGUGUAUAUCUUCUAGCGACGAUUCACAACUGUGUACUGUCGAUGAUGAGAGGCAACCAGAAACCAGACCACCCUUUGGCGAGUGCGACAAGGUGAACUAUUCACGAGGGUUGGUCGGAAAAGCAGGGUUCGAGCCACAAACCUCCGAUUUGAUUUAUGACUUCGAAGAAAGGGUGAUAAGCGCUGAGCACCAUUCAUGAUCGGUACGACUAGUGUGCUCUAGUGUGUGCAUGGGAGUUGUGGAAUCAAAAAUGGCAUAUCUAGGCAGUGCCACCAGGCCACCAGCCGGUGCCGGAGUUCCUCCAAUCCUCCAUUAAGCGCUGGCAAAUGUAUCCUGCACGAUAGUACGCAUCCUUCUAUACAUUAUUUAUAUCUAUAUCAGUUUAAUGAAUGCUGCUGAUGUGGUGUAGCCCUAGCGAUGGAUAAACUGAACGGUUUCCCCAGAUACGAUGCGAUCGAAUUUCCCAAAAACCACGCGGUCAGUUAACACAGUAGAACUUCCAAAUGUGUUUUAUAUAUUGAUGGAUACUUUAUAAACAAUUUAAAGAGCUGGAUUAUAUUUAAAUAUUUUAUGUAGUUUUUACUAUAAUUAUUCAUCAACUACUCAAGAAUUGUUUAACCCUAAAAUGUAAUGUUAUGAAAAUAAAGCAGUCAAAAUAUCUCAUCCGGUAGUUCUAGUGUUAAAGUUCAUAAAAGGACGUGUUUAAUUAAAGAAUGUCCCUAUUGUAGUUUCAUGCAUAUAUAAGUGAUAUUAAAUUUACCACCUACCGUUAGAAACUACACAGUCACAAUUAACGACCAGGAACGGUUAUUGGGUUGCACAUCACUAACAGUACACAUGGUGCAAUUAGUAACAUAAUAGCGUCACAUUUGAUGACUCGUAUGUAUUUUUUUGUUUUCCCAAUCUCUCCUCUUUGGAUGCACUUUAAAUUUGUAAUUUGAUACAUUUUUCAUGUGCACGGUGCAAUUAACGUGUUGAUUAUAGCGACCAGUAGCAACCUGCAAUAGAAAUGAAAGAUGAAACAGAAUGGGCAUAUGUAUGUGUGUGUGUGUGGAAUAGAAAAAUCAUUAUCAUUAAAUGAUCAACCGGUAUCGGUACCCCUUUUCCCCGUACGAAAUUGUGCUGGCCCCGUGAUCCGGUAAUGUGUGUGUGGGGACAACGAGAUGCCUAAGUGAAAUCGAAUUAAUUGCUACGUUUAAUUAAAUUGAAAAUAUAUAUUUUCCAGGAACAUUUUUUUUUCUCUCUGUGUGCUUUCUGCUCACUGAAUCGAUUGAUUGAGAUUUGGAUUUGCGUGCGUGCGUUGGAAAAACCCCCAGCUCGACUACAAAUAGUAGCCACCGGCCACAAAUGCCAAUAUAUCGAUUGCAUUUCAUUUCCCUUUAAUGGUAAAUGGUGUGGCGUGUAUCUCUCUAUCCCUCUCUCUCUCUUUCUGUGUAUUUUGUUUACCCUUUUUGGGAUGAGAAACAGAAGCACAAAAUUGUCCAACUGAAAAACAAAAGGUGCAUCUUUUUGAUGCCCAUCACUCACGUGUGUUGAAGGGACGGUGGUGGAUUGUGUCUCUCCCCUUUCCCUCUCAGGCUUUGUGAUGAUCGGUUGGAUCAUCAGAGGCACCGUGAAAGGAUUGAAAUGUUUUUAAUGAUUCGUUAGCCUUACCGUGUGUCAGGUCAACCGGAAUCCGGAAUAGGUGUGUGCAUCAGGGGGACGGUCAGGAUGAUCAACGCAAACCGAACAAACGAUUUUAUGAUUGAUGAUGUGGAAUUAACGAUUUUUAUUAUAUUAAUCUGUUAGUCAGCGGUUGAAUGAGUUAUUACAGAAGGAUUUCAAUUAUUUUAUCAUGCCUCGUUACGAUGCGAAACGCGUUAUGACGAAACGCAAAAAGAGGAGAUUUGCUUCACCUACGAAGAAAGUAGUAUAAUUGAUAAUUUGUGCUUCAAAACUUCAAUAUUAUAAAACUGUUGUUCGAAAAAAGAAAAACAAUUUUUGCAUAUUUACGAAAAUUUGUUGCCUUAUUCUUGUACCUCACUCAACCUGCUCAUAAUAAAGCAAAAUUAUGCAAAUCACGCCGUAGGUUCGGAAACAUAAAACUAAAAUUAAGUUGUGGUUUUUUUUCCAAUUUACUUUUCGUACUUGACCCAGCACGAUAAUAAUGGAAUAUUUAGAUUCAUUUUAAGUGCUUCCCAAACUUCAAACAAUUGUUUUACAUUUUUCGCUGUUUUUUUAUGCGAUUUUGCUAUCUUUUUUCCAACUUUGCUUUUUAACUCUCUGUUAAUAAUCACUUCGAUUUUCAGAGAUAAUGAUGCAUAUUUUAAAUGUUUUUAUUCACAUCCAAAAUGCGAAAGCAAUUGAAUUCGAUAGUGGUAUUUUUGAUUUCCUUUUUUUCUCCUUUCUGUAAGAAAAAAUAAAACACAACAAAGCGGGCAGGAUGUGAAUAAGUGUUUUACAUUUAGCCUUGAGCCGCCACAUUGUCUGUGACUCUCAUCAUCAUGAUGCUGCUGUACAGUAAAAUUUAAUGAUGGUCAAACCGUCGAUAGCAGCAGCAAAAAGUGUGUGUCUUUGUGUGUAUUUGCCCUCGACCGACAUCAAAAACUCUCGUGACUCGGACAUGGAAAAAGUUCGUCUUGAUCCUUGCCACUUGAAAUGUUGAUCCGUGGCGCGAGACACGCGGUUCAACGGCGCCCGGCCACAAACACCGAGCCAGCAAACCAUUUCCAUCCUUUUUUUUUUCAUCCUGCCCGACGGCAAUGGCGAUGGGUCCCCAUUAGUGCAGCAACAUUGGCACCGCAGCAUAACGACAUGCAAAACAUCAAUAACAAUAAUCAUCGUUUAUGUGAUUGUGAUGGUUGUUUUGUGGAUGGUUGUAUUUUUCGUUGUCGUUGUCUCUUUCUUCAUUCUAUCUUUUACUUUUUAUUCCGAUCCCACGGAACAUGUGUACAACGUGGGGUUAUGUGUGGCAAGGAAAAAGAGGGUGAAAAAAACACAACCAUUAUCACCAUCAAACCAAACAAACAUAGCACAGAAACUCGUCAUCUUUUCACAUUCGCCCCAAAACCGACCGAGAGUGAAAGCGUCAAAAGAGCGUCCGUUUUUUUUUUGUUAUUCGUUUUAAGAAGGUGGAAAAUCGUAUUUUAUAUGGUAUGAUAAAACUGAGCAGGAGGGAUUCCUUUUUGUUGUGUCAAUGCUUUGACGUCUGCUUCUUGUUCCCGCCGUUAAUAGUUUUGGCUGUAGGGCAUAAAGAAGCGACAUAAUACGAGCCAACUUUCCUUUUGCCGAGCAAUAGCAUCCAUUUCCUUUAUUCCGGUUUUUUUAUUACUAAAGAAAUAAGCAAAAGGAAGCGAUCGUUAUGAUUUUUUUUGCUUUUGUAUGUCGCAACUGUGGUUUGUAGCUUCACAAAUGUCGACGCGACGCGCAAAGAAGGAAGAAAGAUGUCGUGCGUUAGUAUCGUUUGUGUUUUUUUUUGUGGCUGCAACUUGUAACGAUUAUUUCUUAUAGCUUUCGAAUUGACAUCGGUGUACGGUACGGGAGUUUUGGAUUUGAAUUUGUGGGGUGGAUUCCUUACCGUUUUUUUUUGCUUCCAAAAUAAUAUUUCCCCCCACCCGCUCGAGAAGUAAAUGUAAUUUUUAUUUUUCAUAAGCUUAUAAUUAUGUGCACAUAAAUGCGUUGCUUCACGAAUUGUAACGAUACCGUACUGUUACCGGCGUCCCAUUAUGGGGUGCUUUCGUCAAUGGAGCGUCAUUAGCACACGGGCAACAAUGUAUCCAGCCGGGAUGGAAACAUCCCGGCAGGGAGGCAUUUUGCCCUUUGCUAUGCGGUUUGCUACAGGGACACUUGUCAAGACGAGCUAAUGAGCCCUUGUUUAGCAGGCCCUUGUGGUGCUUUUAUACGUGUGUUUUCGCUAAAGAUAUUGGUGUAAAAUUGGUGGUAUCGGGAAUCGUGUGUCGAUGUAUGUAUGUCUCUUUUUGU